AGAAAUAAAAAUAGAAUCGAAUUGAGUAAAAAUCUGUGGACAUCUACAUUUUACCACAAGUUCUCACAAUGUCCUCACGAGUAUAGUAAUACAAACCAACACACACGUUUAAAAGAGCACUGUGUUAUUCCAGGUGUUGCCAAAACGGACUGGUGUCAGUCUGGACCGUACCUCAAGACGCCUCUGCCUUCCCAGAAUCCACCUCUUCUGGCUCCGAGGCCCGGAGGGACAACGAACCCAAAGCCAAACGCAAGCAGCAGAGUUCCAGCAGGCGUGUGGAGGGGGCGGUGUGUGUGUUCCAGCUGAAGGGUCAUAUCACCCCGGUGAGGACAGUAGUCUUCAGCCCUGACGGUCUGGCCCUGGUGUCUGGAGGCGUGGGAGGCCUCAUGAACAUCUGGUCCUUACGGGACGGCUCAGUGCUCCAGACAGUAAUAGCCGGUCAGGAGCCAUCCAGAACAUAGUCUGGAUCCCAGAUGUGGGCGUGGCCGUCUGCUCCAACAGGUCAAAGACACAUCUGCUUGCAGCAAAACUGCACCUGCCCCCACAUGACUAGCAUCCACCUGCAAGGUAAAUGACAAAUCCAUG